CGAAAGAGUUUACGGGUUUUCCGAUGGGUCUCUCCGGGUCUGAGCCCGAUUCUGAUACCUCUCGUCUCCUCAACAGUCGCGAAA